GGUCAAAGAGCGACACCUGUUCAGCUAUCAGUUUCAUCCUGUCACUGCUUUUAGCCUCUCGCUCCUAUCACCAUGCCUUCUUUGCCAUGACAGUGCUACAGAUCUGACCCUCACACCAAGCACUGACAGAGAUUUAACAUAAUUUCAGAGCAGUAGACACAUAAAGCAAGCAUUUAUUCCAGGGAGUAUAGAUUGAUUCAUUCAUUUUUAAGAUAAUGAUAAAAGAAAUGAAGAAACACAGAAUAAUUCCUGUGAAUGCAUAUUUAAUAAAUCAAGCGGUAUGGGCUUGAGCAUGAGUUCUGGUAAAAUAUAGAAACAUAGUGAAGCUUCCAGUCCUAAUACUGCAAAUUCAGUAAAAAUACAUUUAUGCAAACCCAGGAGGAGCUCUAGGUAUAGAAUUACAGCACAAACAGCCAAACAACCACACAGGGUGUCUGAGAUUGAGCAUUUUUUAAUUAAUUUAUAAUAUGAUUGACAAGUAUAUAAAGACACUUUAUAUACUUUAUCCUGAUUGGUUGGAUGUUGUUGGUCCACACCAUCCACAACACUGUUGGCAGUUUCACUUUACCUUUCAAACAAUAAGCUAGUGGUCAUCAUUUCAAGUUUAUUUGAAAUAAAUUCAAUUACAUUGAAUUUGAUCAACCACAGUAGUUUUUCCUGUCAUAUGUUCACUGUUGGAGCUAAUAGAAUUAUGGUAAUUAAUUAUUUACAGUUGAGUAAUAUGUGGUUAACUAAUUUAUCUCACACCUAUGUUCUUAAUACAAUAUAUAAGCAAACGUUAGUAAAUAUGUGAAUUAAGUCUUUCAAAAAAAAUAUUUGAAAUGUUGGCAGGGACUUCCAGGGACACACUUCCUUGCAAAGAAUAAGGUUUUCCUCUGCUCCUGACACACCUGAUCCUCAUAACUCAUAAAGGGCUCUUCAGCUCAUUAUUAGGAAGUUGAGGAGUGUUAGGAGCAGAGGAAGCAUGCAACUGUGCAGGUCAGUGACUAGGUUGAGUCUAAGAAUUAAAUUUACCAAUAAAUGAGCAAAUGUAAAAUAAAACUUAUACUGAAAUAUAACUACAUUAUAUAAAAUCUAUUUUAAACUUACAAUAAUUAUUGAAUAAUUAUUGAUGCUUAAUUAUUAAUUAAUUGUUAAGUAAUGAAUCAGUAAUCCAUCAUUAUAAACUAUGUUUUACUUGCUUUUAUGUAGUUUAUUACCAAACAUUAAAGGUGUUAACAGAAUGAUAUAUAAUGCCAUAGUCCAUGUCAGGAUUCCAGUUAUUGUGUAGUAACUGCAUAUAGCCAUGGUAUUUGUUACAAUCAGCCAGCUUGCUAAUCGUCCUCAUUCAAUACCUGCUAUUUAUUACACUGACUUCUGACCUGCUUGUAAACUUUAGUGUAUGCCUAUGAUUAACUAGGCUCUUAUUUAUUUAUUAUUGUUUUUAUUUUAUUGUUUAUUUCUAGUUUAGAUUCCUACAGAGCAAAAAAGAAGUCAUUAGACAUUUUAAGGGCCCUGAUUAGGCAAAUCACAUGCACUCAAGCCUGGGACUGGAGUUGUGUGGUUUUGUUGAGAGGUGUUAACCAUGCUGCAGUGCAUUUGCAGCUCCUUUCCGCUCACCCCUGCAUUUGGACGUGAGCGUUCAGCCCUUACUCAGCACUCUUUCAGCCCCUGAUUGGCUGAUCCAGGCAAAGUGCGACAGUAACAAUAGUCCUAACGCUCAUCCAUGUGUUCUCCUCUACAGAAAGUAAAGAGGCCCAGAAUGUCCAGUGUGACAGGGGGAAAAAAAAGGGAAGGGGUACUUUAAAAAUAGUCAGUAUAUUUUGUGUUGCCUGUGCUCUUUUGCUUGUUAUAUUUUGUGAUGUUACACAAGCUUAUCCUACCUAAUUAUCAUAAUUUUAAACUGUAAAGGUUAUAUAGUGAUUAUUGGCAUCUCAAAUUCUUGAUCUUUAAUUUCACUUGUUUAAUUUCCCAAAUCAAAGUUUUUCAUUAAAUCUUUUAAAUCACAUUGUAACAAUAUUUAAAUAAAUCACAAGCAUUUUUCUCUCUACUGUGUUUGUGAUCACCAUGCUCUCACUCUGUCUCUCUUUUUCUCUCUCUCUGUCUUAGUAAAAUAUUCAGAGACAACACUCUUAAACUGGUGAAGAUUUAAAAUUUGUACUGUGUCUCUUUGUAAUCUUGCUUAAUAGUGAUUUACUAGAGGUUGCAUUGUUUGUCUUGUACAGUCUGAAAUGAGAUUCCUGGGGAGCUCCUCUACUGCACUGUGACUUUUUUUAUUUCAUUGUAUUCACUUUAAUUCUAUUUGUUACUGCAGCGUCAUAUGGUAAACUCUUUAAUGAGGUGGGAUAAAAUAUUAAAUACCAAACUAUGUAUUGUAUAUAUCAUUGACUGGUCCAUAACACACACACACACAUACACACACACACACACACACACACACACACACACACACACACACACACACACACACACACACGCACACACACACACACACAAGUGCAGUUCAAUGAGCAGCACCAACAUGGAGAAAAAAGCAGAAAAGGAGGAACUCAAACAGGAAAAAAAAACUACACUUUUGCAUCUACUGCAUACCUAUCAGAACAUCUCUCUCUCUCUCUCUCUCUCUCUCUCUCUCUCUCUCCCUCCCACCCUCUCUCAUAUAUACACAACAAGGACAUCUCUGCUAUGGAACAAGCUGUCAGUGUGGAUGAGCAUAAUAUUGGUGUAAUAAAAAGUGCAUUGCAAAGGAAUGGGUGAAAAAAAAUGUGAUCUAUGACAACCCAGGUCCAAAAGUGCAUGUAUAGCAUUUCUAAAUAAUUUUUGCGACUCAUGGAAAAGAUACACUUGAAUUAAAAAAAAUAUAAAUAAAUAAAUUCCCCACCAGCUUUUGUAUUAUUUCCCAUAAUCCAUAAAUGAGAGAUGAUUUAGAGUGCAAGCUGAUUGUAAUGACAGCAACAGCCAGAAUAAAGCCGAACUUUACAUUCACAAUAUGUCACAAUCUGGUUUUAUUUUAUUAUAAACGUAUACCAUGAAUCAAGCAAUAUCUUUAGAAAGUGUUUGGAUCAGUUUCUGUCAGACGCUUAGGUAAGAUUUAAUACUUUCAAAAAGUAGUGAAGAGCAUCAGUUACCUCUCUCUCUCUCUCUCUCUCUCUCUCUCUCUCUGUGUGUGUGUAUGUGUGAGUCAAUGUGUGUACUAUUCAAUUAAAUUCUUGGAAAAAUUUGAUAUCUAAAUUUGAAAUGUUGGAUAUCUUUGAAAUCUAAGUGAUAUUCCUUAAUUAAUUUUUUAUUCCCCUUUCUGCUGAUGACCUCAGUGCCACAGUGUUUGAUCUCUUUACUAUUAAACCUCAGAGGUGCUCUGUUCCAUUUCUACACAGACCUGCAGUAACGGGGAACCUGGAGCCUAUCCCAGGGAGCAUCAGGCACAAAGCAGGGUACACCCUGGACAGGGUGCCAAUCCAUCGCAGGGCACACAAUCACAUACACACUCACAUACCCAUUCAUACUCUACGGACACUUUAGACAUACCAAUCAACCUACCAUGCAUGUCUUUGGACUGAGGGAGGAAACCGGAGUACCCGGAAGAAACCCCUGCAGCACGGGAAGAACGUGCAAACUCCGCACCCACAGAGCCACGGGAAUCGAACCCCGACCCUGGCGGUGAACGUGCUAUCUACUAAGCCACCAUGCGUUAGUAUUUAUAUAUUUAUUUCAUUUCAAAAGGUACAGUCCAUUUUCAUGGUGCAUUCAGUACUGUUUAUUUUUGUAAUAAAGUUCAGCAAUAUUUUACUUUGAGUGUUAUAUUUUUAUCAGUUGAUUAAUCCAUUAUCAGCAGGUAUUGCCCAACUUAGUUAUCAGUAUCAGUAAAGUCCUCUAUUGUUCGACCAGUGAAAUAAAUUAAGAUGUAAACCCUGCAGUUCAGUGCUGGAAUGUACUUGAGUAUGCACUACUAAAGUGUUCAAAUAAGUGUGUGAGUGUGUGAAUGAGUGAGUGAGUAAGUGAGAUAGGAAAUACAGUGUUUCACCUGUACAGGCCUUCAAAUAGACACAUGAACCAGAUUGUGUAUAGACUCUCACAACUACAAUCUUCUAUCAAUGUUUUCUACAAGUUAUAUUAGAUAUUUUAUUUUAUACAUAAAAAAAAAUUCUAUCCCCACAGGCAUUCUGAACAUGUCAGCAAGAUGUGCCCAAACAUAAUUGCUAUUUGCUAUCCUUUUCUAUAGUCAUGAUGUUUAUAUUUUCCUGUCCCCAACUUAAUCUUUGCAGUAAUAUUAUGAUGUGUGCAUGCAUGAUGGAAAGAGAUGAAUAUGGAGUCAUUUAAAAGACAGAUGCUUUCCCUGCAUAUGCUUAUGAUUGACAAUACAGAAUGCAUUGGGAUGUUUCUCUCCCAUGAAUCUUUCUAGAAUUAUGUAAUAACACAUUAAUAGCAGUAUUAAUAAUUUGUAAUAACAAAGCAUUGUGCCACUUCUUUGCGGUUGAGUAUUAAUAAGUAAUAAGUUGCAAUUCGCUGUUACAGGCUGGUCUCUUGCUUGCCAACCAAAUGAGGAUGGCGAACCCUAGAACCCUACACUCUAGUGCCCUUGAUCUUUUAAUGACUUCCUCCAGGUUUACAUCUUUAGUGAAUGUUAAUUAAUCUACAGUGUUAAUGUUGAGGAAACAUGUCCAUUCAGUGGUGUGGAAGGUCUGUGCAUACUGGUUAAAUGGGAAGCACUUCCUGCUAGCUGUAGACAGACGAAUGAACUAUAAAAGGUGAAACACCAGUCGAAGAAAACUAGUAAAAAGUUAUGGUGUCAAUAAGCUCUGGCUGUCUCACUCAGCAAAAUGCCCUCAGCAGAGCUAAAAGAAAAAAAAUUAUAGUCAGUAAUAAUAAGUCCAUCUGUGAUGGUCCACUAAGCUUUGAUUCUAUGUAAUUAUCUGUAUGUCUCUCUCUCAGUCUCUCGCUCCCUCAUAUAGAAGGGAUUGGCUGUUAUUGUGGUUAAAUGCUAGCAGAUGUCUCCUUAAUUGAUCGAAACAAAUUACCAAGGCAUUGAUCCUGUGUGUGUGUGUGUGUGUGUGUGUGUGUGUGUGUGUGUGUGUGUGUGUGUGUGUUGGCAGGCAAUCGUUCUUGUUCAUGGAUGCAAUCUGAAAAAAACUGUGCUUCAGUUAACAUUAUUUUUUUCUAACUUAAACUAAGCUGCAAAUCUCAUUGUCAUCACUUACAUCUGUCAUCUGUCCUUUCUGGAUUGUGAAAAAAAUUAUGUGUGUCAGCCAUUUUUACAUAAGCCCCUUUUAUGCGGUGUCGUGGGGUUGGUUAAUUUAUGCACCGCUGCUUCACCUUCGCCAUCCCCAUAGAGGUGUUAACUGAACCUCUAAGACGCUGCUCUAACCAGAAACGCUGGUUCACUGACAAGCUGUCAGGAUCAUGAGUAAUGGUGCGCAGACGUAUAGGCCUUCCCUAUACUCUGACCUCUGCAUUCACUCUUGAGGCUAAACUUUUGACCUCAGCUGAUGUCUUUAAGGUCUAGAAUUGACCUCUUUUCAUGACUGUACCUGAUUGAACAUGCUAAUCACAUUCUAAUAGUUGAUUUAGAAUGGACACAUUGUGUGUAUUCCUGCUUCACAUGUUGAUGAAACCCUUUCAAAACAUCAGUGUGCUUUUACAUCUCACCACACACACUGCUCAGGAAUGCCACUCAUGCAUUGAACAGGAUAGAUGGUUUAGGCUCAUCGCUAAGACUCCUUAUCAUAACUCCCCAAGGCAAAGCAGUUGUCAUGUACUGUGCGCUUAUUGUGUAAUGACUUAUAUACAGCUCUCAGCAAGCUGCUGUCGUGAACCCGCACUGUGAUUUACUGCAUUGGAUUUGUAUGCCUACUCAAACAAGCACAGAUUUCCCCCUUUAGAGCCAUACAGUACAUACAGCAUGCUGAAUUAUAUAUAAAUGACAUCUAGGUGUGCUGUAUUUUCUGUAAUCUCACCAACCAAUUUUCAGAUUUAUUCUUCUUUAAACUAAACCAAAAUGGUGCUUUCUGGUCUAUUUCUGGUCUGGUCUAUUUAAUAGAUUUUGGCAAAGGUUAGCUGAAAUAGCUAGCUGCUUGGAAAUUCAAGAUAAAAAGAAAAUAAAGUGUCUGUCAUCAGUGUUCCUUCUGAGGUCACACUCCCAAAACACUUGCAGAGGCUGGAAAAUCUGAACGGUAGUGUAAGAAUUGUUAGGCAACAUGACUGAGAAGUCUCUUAGUUCUGAUUUAUUUGGAUUGGAUGUUGCUGUGCUGAUCCAUAUGGUCACGGACAAAAACUUU
ensembl:lncRNA